rnacentral:rRNA from 1 species
GUAGGUGGCAAGCGUUGUCCGGAAUUAUUGGGCGUAAAGCGCGCGCAGGCGGUCCUUUAAGUCUGAUGUGAAAGCCCACGGCUCAACCGUGGAGGGUCAUUGGAAACUGGGGGACUUGAGUACAGAAGAGGAAAGCGGAAUUCCACGUGUAGCGGUGAAAUGCGUAGAGAUGUGGAGGAACACCAGUGGCGAAGGCGGUUUUCUGGUCUGUAACUGACGCUGAGGCGCGAAAGCGUGGGGAGCAAACAGGAUUAGAUACCCUGGUAGUCCACGCCGUAAACGAUGAGUGCUAAGUGUUAGGGGGUUUCCCGCCCCCCUUAGUGCUGCAGCUAACGCAUUAAGCACUCCGCCUGGGGAGUACGGCCGCAAGGCUG